rnacentral:rRNA from 1 species
UACGAAGGGGGCAAGCGUUGUCCGGAAUCACUGGGCGUAAAGAGCGUGUAGGCGGAACAUUAAGUUAGAGGUGAAAUCCCAGGGCUCAACCUUGGAACUGCCUUUGAUACUGAUGUUCUUGAAUCCAGGAGGGGAGUACGGAAUUCCUAGUGUAGAGGUGAAAUUCGUAGAUAUUAGGAGGAACACCCGUGGCGAAGGCGGUACUCUGGACUGGCAUUGACGCUGAGACGCGAAAGCGUGGGGAGCAAACAGG